GAGAUUAAUGCCAGAAAAAAAGCUUCUAACUUUUUAAUCAAGCGGUUUAAAUCCGUUUAAAUCUCU
rnacentral:tRNA from 1 species